CCANGUGUAGCGGUGAAAUGCGUAGAUAUAUGGAGGAACACCAGUGGCGAAAGCGGCUCUCUGGUCUGUCACUGACGCUGAGGCGCGAAAGCGUGGGUAGCGAACAGGAUUAGAUACCCNUGGUAGUCCACGCCGUAAACGAUGAGUGCUAGGUGUUAGGCCCUUUCCGGGGCUUAGUGCCGGAGCUAACGCAAUAAGCACUCCGCCUGGGGAGUACGACCGCAAGGUUGAAACUCAAAGGAAUUGACGGGGGCCCGCACAAGCGGUGGAGCAUGUGGUUUAAUUCGAAGCAACGCGAAGAACCUUACCAGGUCUUGACAUCCCGAUGCUAUUCUUAGAGAUAGGAAGUUACUUCGGUACAUCGGAGACAGGUGGUGCAUGGUUGUCGUCAGCUCGUGUCAUGAGAUGUUGGGUUAAGNCCCGCAACGAGCGCAACCCUUAUUGUUAGUUGCCAUCAUUAAGUUGGGCACUCUAGCGAGACUGCCGGUAAUAAACCGGAGGAAGGUGGGGAUGACGUCAAAUCAUCAUGCCCCUUAUGACCUGGGCUACACACGUGCUACAAUGGUCGGUACAACGAGUUGCGAGCCGGUGACGGCAAGCUAAUCUCUGAAAGCCGAUCUCAGUUCGGAUUGGAGGCUGCAACUCGCCUCCAUGAAGUCGGAAUCGCUAGUAAUCGCGGAUCAGCACGCCGCGGUGAAUACGUUCCCGGGCCUUGUACNCA
rnacentral:rRNA from 1 species